CAAGUACUCCCUCCGUCCGAAAAUACUUGUCAUAAAAAUGGAUAAAAAAGAUGUAUCUAGAACUAAUAUACAUUUAGAUACAUCCCUUUUUAUUCAUUUUGAUGAAAAGUAUUUCCGGAUGGAGGGAGUACUAC
rnacentral:pre_miRNA from 1 species